GACGUAGGGCGCGAGCGUUGUCCAGAUUUAUUGGGCGUAAAGAGCUCGUAGGCGGCUUGUCGCGUCGAAUGUGAAAACUCGGGGUUCAACCCCGCGCUUGCAUUCGAUACGGGCAGGCUCGAGUUCGGUAGGGGAGACUGGAAUUCCUGGUGUAGCGGUGAAAUGCGCAGAUAUCAGGAGGAACACCGGUGGCGAAGGCGGGUCUCUGGGCCGAUGACUGACGCUGAGGAGCGAAAGCGUGGGGAGCGAACAGG
rnacentral:rRNA from 1 species